rnacentral:rRNA from 1 species
CUCCUACGGGAGGCAGCAGUAGGGAAUCUUCCACAAUGGGCGAAAGUCUGAUGGAGCAACGCCGCGUGAGUGAAGAAGGGUUUCGGCUCGUAAAGCUCUGUUGGUAGUGAAGAAAGAUAGAGGUAGGAACUGGCCUUUAUUUGACGGUAAUUACUUAGAAAGUCACGGCUAACUACGUGCCAGCAGCCGCGGUAAUACGUAGGGGGCAAGCGUUGUCCGGAUUUAUUGGGCGUAAAGCGAG